UCUUUUCCUGUUCAAUGGUCUCU
rnacentral:misc_RNA from 1 species